rnacentral:ncRNA from 1 species
UCGCGUGCUCUGGGGUCGGUGUAACUCCGAACCGGCGGUGACUGAUCGAUGCUCCUGCAUCGCGUCAGAAGUCCGCGACCCGGUCACCGCCAGUGACCGGUUGACCAGGUGAAGCUCCUGGACCGACGGUUAAAGUCCGGAUGAGAAGCGCACGCAG